rnacentral:sRNA from 1 species
ACAGGGCAUGGUGGCCCGUGCCUGUAAUCCCAGCAGCUUGGGAGGCCGAGGCGGGAGGAUCAAAAGUUCAAGCCAGCCUCAGCCACUUAGCGAGACCCUGAGCAACUUAGUGAGACCCUGUCUCAA